rnacentral:RNase_P_RNA from 1 species
UCAGAAGGCUGGAUGGCCGCUCGUUUUCUAUUGAUAGGGGGCGGGAGGAAAGUCCGGGCUUCACGAAAACACGGCGCCGGGUAACGCCCGGGCAGGGUGACCUGACGGAAAGUGCAACAGAGAGCAGACUACCUUCUUUCGGGAAGGCAAAGGUGAAAGGGUGCGGUAAGAGCGCACCGCGUUUCUGGCAACAGGAACGGCAUGGUAAACCCCGCCGGAAGCAAGACCAAAUAGGAGCCGCAUAUGGUGGUGUUUUCCUGCCGCGGCUCGGGUAGGUUGCUAGAGGUGUCCGGUAACGGACAUCCCAGAUGAAUGGUCAUCAUUCCCGCAAGGGAUUACAGAACCCGGCUUACAGGCCUUCUGAUAUU